rnacentral:rRNA from 1 species
GAACGCUGGCGGCGUGCUUAACACAUGCAAGUCGAGCGGAAAGGCCCUUCGGGGUACUCGAGCGGCGAACGGGUGAGUAACACGUGAGCAACCUGCCCCAGGCUUUGGGAUAACCCCGGGAAACCGGGGCUAAUACCGAAUAUGACCUUGCACCGCAUGGUGUUUGGUGGAAAGUUUUUCGGCUUGGGAUGGGCUCGCGGCCUAUCAGCUUGUUGGUGGGGUGAUGGCCUACCAAGGCGACGACGGGUAGCCGGCCUGAGAGGGCGACCGGCCACACUGGGACUGAGACACGGCCCAGACUCCUACGGGAGGCAGCAGUGGGGAAUAUUGCACAAUGGGCGGAAGCCUGAUGCAGCGACGCCGCGUGAGGGAUGACGGCCUUCGGGUUGUAAACCUCUUUCAGCAGGGACGAAGCGUAAGUGACGGUACCUGCAGAAGAAGCGCCGGCCAACUACGUGCCAGCAGCCGCGGUAAGACGUAGGGCGCGAGCGUUGUCCGGAUUUAUUGGGCGUAAAGAGCUCGUAGGCGGC